GACGGUAUAAGCUCAGUGGUAGAGUUCAUACUUAAUAUGCAUGAGAUCCUGGGUUCAAUCCCUAGCACCACCU
rnacentral:tRNA from 1 species